UUCAAUAACAGUGUUUAUUUACAAUACGUUCGUUGUUUUUGCAUCAAUUUCAGUUGGAUAAUAAUUAUUUCAUAGUCAAUAUAAAGUUAUUUCGACAAUGGUUGUUUUAAUAAUUACGAUUCAACUAAUACAUAUAGUUUCAAAACGUGUGUCAAAAGUCUUUAGUCAAGUGACUAGAAUUGAGGUUAUAACGCAAUAAUUUUCACAAUUUACACACAAUUUGCAAUAUUUAAAAGGAAAAUUAUAUUUGAAGCUUGAUUAUUAUUUUCUCGGAAAAUAUAUAUAACGAAUUCAUCGACCGUUACCAACAAUUUUUGGAGUGUGCGCGCAACUCUUCUGGGAUCGUAAAAUAAUUCAGCUUAUAUGUAUCUCGAAAGAUUCUAUCCUCGAUGGCUUGUGAUGUUACGUGCUUCAACGAUAAGGGCAAAAGUAAAAAAGGGAUCUUCGAAGGACACAGGAUUCUCCAGUUUCAGACUAUUUAGAACUCGGUCUAUUUUGACGGUUAUUUUUUACAUUUUCUAAAUGGAAAUUUAACUUGAAAGUAGGGAUCUCCGAGGUCUCUAUUUAGUUUGAAAGAAAAUCUCCUUGAAGCUAAAACGUCGUUAUUUAAGGAAGAAAAACCAGCCGCAAAUAACCUUUUUAUUCACUAUGCAGCCUUCAAUCUUUGAAAAAUUCUUGAAGAAAAAUGGGAGAAACAUGUAA